UGGGGAAUAUUGGACAAUGGGCGCAAGCCUGAUCCAGCAAUGCCGCGUGUGUGAAGAAGGCCUUCGGGUUGUAAAGCACUUUUAUCAGGAGCGAAACGCUGUCGGCUAAUACCCGGCGGAACUGACGGUACCUGAGGAAUAAGCACCGGCUAACUUCGUGCCAGCAGCCGCGGUAAUACGAAGGGUGCAAGCGUUAAUCGGAAUUACUGGGCGUAAAGCGUGCGUAGGCGGUUUCUUAAGUCUGCUGUGAAAUCCCCGGGCUCAACCUGGGAAUGGCAGUGGAUACUGGGAGGCUAGAGUGUGUCAGAGGGUGGUGGAAUUCCCGGUGUAGCGGUGAAAUGCGUAGAGAUCGGGAGGAACAUCAGUGGCGAAGGCGGCCACCUGGGACAACACUGACGCUGAGGCACGAAAGCGUGGGGAGCAAACAGGAUUAGGAUACCCUGGUAGUCCACGCCCUAAAGCGAUGCGAACUGGAUGUGGUCUCAACUCGGAGAUCAGUGUCGAAGCUAACGCGUUAAGUUCGCCGCCUGGGGAGUACGGUCGCAAGACU
rnacentral:rRNA from 1 species